rnacentral:rRNA from 1 species
GAUGAACGCUGGCGGCGUGCUUAACACAUGCAGGUCGAACGAAGCACCUUAUUCUGAUUUCUUCGGAAUGAAAAAUUUGGUGACUGAGUGGCGGACGGGUGAGUAACGCGUGGGUAACCUGCCUCAUACAGGGGGAUAACAGUUAGAAAUGACUGCUAAUACCGCAUAAGACCACAGCACCGCAUGGUGCAGGGGUAAAAACUCCGGUGGUAUGAGAUGGACCCGCGUCUGAUUAGGUCGUUGGUGGGGUAACGGCCUACCAAGCCGACGAUCAGUAGCCGACCUGAGAGGGUGACCGGCCACAUUGGGACUGAGACACGGCCCAAACUCCUACGGGAGGCAGCAGUGGGGAAUAUUGCACAAUGGGGGAAACCCUGAUGCAGCGACGCCGCGUGAGUGAUGAAGUAUUUCGGUAUGUAAAGCUCUAUCAGCAGGGAAGAAAAUGACGGUACCUGACUAAGAAGCACCGGCUAAAUACGUGCCAGCCGCCGCAGUAACAC